AUAGUGAAAUAUAUAUGGUGUAUUAUUUCUUAUAUCUUGAAGGUCGGGAUUUGCCUGCUUCAUAUGGUGGUGGAAAUGCACUAUCAUUGUUUCAUUUACUGCAUGUAUAGUUCCUCCCUUUCUAUAAAAAGAACACAACCAACCACUCUCUAAGGGCUUACAUUAUUAUGUUUGGAAGGCUGGUGCCAGAGGGGACAGCUUUCGUGGUCAUGUGACAUGACCAUAUGUGGAAAAGGGCCAAAGUUCCUUGUUCUUGGUGUGGAUCUCACACAAGGCAUUCCACUCUGGUCACCGAGCAAUCAACACCGAGUUACUUGAGCCAUCUUAAGGUUUGGACUCUGGUCGUGUGGGGUAAGUGAUACUGGCAUCAUUACAUAUUAGUUUGUUCAUUCAUAUUAUACUUUUACAGAUAUGUAUAUUAUAAUUUUCAUAAUUUGUACUUAAAUGGUACAUAUGUGAUCAAUCAUUUUUUAUAAACGAAUGUCCAAGUAGACAGUACAAAACCUGUAUUUAGUGGACACAUAUUUAGUAUGCUUUUAAAUAGAGGUGCCCUUUUUAGUAAAAGGCUCAUCUCUACUUAUUUGAAUAAUUAAUAUUAGAAUAUUGCAUACAUAUGUAUUCAUUAACGAGGUUAAUGGUUUGAUUAUUGUAAAUGUUUAUGCUGGGAUAAAAUAUAUUAAAGACAUUGUUAGUAUUGAAAGGAAAGAGCUGAGUUAGUGAGCAAAAUAUAUUUUAUCACCAAAUGUAAACGAUUACUGCAAGGGAACAGUUGGUAUUUAGCCUCUCUCUCUCUCUCUCAGUAGGGGAUUAUGGUGUAUCCUAAUUAGCACCAACAGCUCUAACUCUAAGAGAACAAAGCACUUGGAAUUUUGGGAAAUAGUCAGAAUGACCUGGGGUCAUUCCUUUAGCAGACGACCAGUUUGACACCGAUAUCUAUUAAAUCCUCAGCUGCAACAUAAACAUUGGUCUCAGCUUGAAAUUAAUUGACUUAAGCUGAAUAACCUUUGGUAAUGUGUUUGUAUUUGUUUGAGAAUGGCUUUCUCACUUUGUUUUUAUGUGAAGGAUAUACAUGUACACUAGAGAAGAAACGUAUACAACUUUACAUAAUUAGAAUAGGAAAACAUGUUUAUCAGGAUAAUAUUAAAGUAAAAAUGCAUUUCUAAUAAUAGAGUGACAGUUCUUAUUAAGUGUUUAGAAAUAAUCUAUUUUGUAUUGUUAACGUGUUGCAUUAGUGCCGGCCAAAUUUAUAUGGGUUGAGGAUGAUUACAAAUGUCUUAUUCAUGUUACUUCUUCUUGAAGCCAUGGUUUAAUGAUAUUGUGGAAGAGUGUUGAUAUUAAUGAUUAUGUGUAUUUGGUUUGAUAGAUGAAGCUUGGUUACUAAUGCUGUUUAAUUGAUUAGCCUACACUUUUGUUGAAGAUGUAUUUAUAUAACUGUUUUCUAUUUUGUUAAAUAUUAGGGCUAUACCUGUGGGGUAUACACUACUUGUAUAUUGAUUUAUAGAUCCUGGGGAUAAAUGAUCCUAUAUGGAAACCCCAGUGUUCUAAUUUACUUAUAAUUAAUUAACCCUAUUAUUAAAGCCCUUCAGAUCCUGAA
rnacentral:lncRNA from 1 species